GCUGGGCGUGGUGGCGGGUGCCUGUAGUCCCAGCUACUCGGAGGCUGAGGCAGGAGAAUUGCUUGAACCCGGGAGGUGGAGGUUGCAGUGAGCCGAGGUCACGCCACUGCACUCCAGCCUGGGCGACAGAGCAAGACUCCGUCUCAA
rnacentral:SRP_RNA from 1 species